CAUCCAUUAGUGAAAAUGCUGCUGCGGGUUUACGGCGAUGGGUGUGUUGUGUAUUUUUAAGAACAUUGGCAGGUAGCGCAAGCAAGCUAUUAGGUUUCGGGGCUGUUGUGUGCAUCUUAGCAUGUUCAGCAGAAUCCUUGGUCUCUACCCAUCAGACACCAUUAGCAAAUUCCCAGUCAACCAAAAUGUCUCCAGACAUUGUCAAAUGUCCCCUGGAAUGGAAAAAUCAGACCAGCUGAGAACCACUGAGCUAGAGGUCCUGCCCCCCUUCAAGCCGUCUGGGCAGAUAACGCCAAUGGAAGACUCCAUGAAGAUUGAACUUAGAAGGAAAAACCAAAACUGUGCUCUCUGGGGUCCAAGUACCUUUAUUGAUCCAUUUCCUGACCCCUCAAGACAGAGCUGGGUACCAGAAGAUGACAUUACUUCACUACCGGCUAAAGCGAGAGAUGAGCACCAGACACCCGGAUGCAAGCCAAAGAUGGCAAGGAGUAGAAUUUUCUGCAGUAGCAGCUGAAAGAGAGAGAGCAGACCUUGAGGCGCCAGAGGUCAAAUGCGAGCCAUAUAUCAUUGGUCUGUUUUCUUACCAUUAAAUCCACAUCUUGCCCAAUGCCUGGCACAUAA